rnacentral:rRNA from 1 species
UUUUGUUUUUAAAAGACCUUCUUACGAAGGUAUGCUUAAAGAGGGGCUUGCGCCACAUUAGUUAGUUGGUAGAGUAAAAGCCUACCAAGACGAUGAUGUGUAGCUGGACUGAGAGGUUGAACAGCCACAUUGGGACUGAGACACGGCCCAAACUCCUACGGGAGGCAGCAGUAGGGAAUUUUCGGCAAUGGAGGAAACUCUGACCGAGCAACGCCGCGUGAACGAUGAAGUAUUUCGGUAUGUAAAGUUCUUUUAUUGAAGAAGAAAAAGUAGUGGAAAAACUAUAUUGACGUUAUUCAAUGAAUAAGCCCCGGCUAACUAUGUGCCAGCAGCCGCGGUAAGACAUAGGGGGCGAGCGUUAUCCGGAAUUAUUGGGCGUAAAGGGUGCGUAGGCUGUUAGAUAAGUCUAUAAUUUAAUUUCAGUGCUUAACGCUGUCUUGUUAUAGAAACUGUCUUGACUAGAGUGAGAUAGAGGCAAGCGGAAUUCCAUGUGUAGCGGUAAAAUGUGUAAAUAUAUGGAGGAACACCAGAAGCGUAGGCGGCUUGCUGGGUCUUUACUGACGCUGAGGCACGAAAGCGUGGGUAGCAAACAGGAUUAGAUACCCUGGUAGUCCACGCCGUAAACGAUGAGUACUAAGUGUCGGGGUAAAACUCGGUACUGAAGUUAACACAUUAAGUACUCCGCCUGAGUAGUACGUACGCAAGUAUGAAACUUAAAGGAAUUGACGGGACUCCGCACAAGCGGUGGAUCAUGUUGUUUAAUUCGAAGAUACACGAAAAAUCUUACCAGGUCUUGACAUACUCUGCAAAGCUAUAGAAAUAUAGUGGAGGUUAUCAGGGAUACAGGUGGUGCAUGGUUGUCGUCAGUUCGUGUCGUGAGAUGUUAGGUUAAGUCCUAAAACGAACGCAACCCUUGUCGUUAAUUGCCAGCACAUAAUGGUGGGGACUUUAACGAGACUGCCAAUUAAACAUUGGAGGAAGGUGAGGAUUACGUCAAAUCAUCAUGCCCCUUAUGAUCUGGGCUACAAACGUGAUACAAUGGCUGUGACAAAGAGUAGCUGAAACGCGAGUUUUUAGCCAAUCUCAAAAAAGCAGUCUCAGUUCGGAUUGAAGUCUGUA